AUGGAAGAACUGAUGAAGGAAGCGCACGCCCUCUUCUGCGGCGGCUGGAGCAUAAAAGAGUCCCAGGUUUUCAUAAGCACGCUCCAGCAUCUACUAACGGCGGCGACCAAGACCGACGACGAGCCUGACGCGGCGAAGACGACGAGGUGCUGGGCGACUCCCCAGCGCUGGCUGCUCACGCUGGACACGCCCUCGCUGCGCGCCGCGCUGUGGAACCCCUCGACCAAGGAGAAGGUGGAGCUCCCAUCAAUGGAGAAGGACCUUCCCCGGAACUGCAAGUGCCUGCUGUCGCGCGAGCCCGGCUCCCGCGCAGGCUGCGUGGUGCUGGUCGUCGUCGACGACGAGCCGGUGAUCUGGUUCUGCCUCGUCGGAGGCGAGCGAUGGAGCAGGCACGAGUACGAGAUCAUUGUCGAGAAACCACGGGGUUCACCCAAUUUUCGCUUGGUGAAAAAACAGUCUUUCGAAGAAGCAGGGUGUGCAACGAACCUCAUCUCUCCCGACGAAGAAACAAGAACAGAGUACAUCUUGGAGGGACACAACUGGAAGAGAAUAAGAAUACCAAGCGACGGGCAUGGCAGUCAUCGAUUCCAGAUAUGGAGCAUCGCCGCCGUGGACGGCAAGUUCUACUUCGACGUGUCCCCCUCGAAGCUCGGUGUCCUCGACUUCCUCCCGGGCCCGACGUUCACCAUGAUGGACACCAAGGGAGCGCGAGUCGCAUGGGAUUCCUGGGAGCUGGCGUUCCCUCAUCUGGCGGAGUCCCGCGGGAGGCUCUACCUGUUCGUCAUCGCCCAUAAUAGUCUGGCCAGCAUCGCCCUCUACAAGAUGGAUUUCUCGUCGCUUGCAUGGUCCAAGGUGGAUCGCGUCUAUGAUCAGGUGUUCUUCCUGGGCAGGUUGCAUUUCUCGGCGUCGUAUUCUGCAUGGGAGCUUGGUUUGACGCAGUGUAAUGUCUACUAUCUGGGCCGUACGAGCUGCUCAACGUGUUCUCUGCCGGAGACAAACGUCGGCCUCGCUCCAACUGCAUACACGGGGCCGAUCUGCCGGCUCCGCUGCAGGGCGUAUACGAUGUGCUCGCCAGAGCUUGUGCUGGUUUCACCAUCGGCGGUAGCUAGAAGAAACGAGGAGAAGAACAAUGUAUAUCUUCAGUCAUUCCGGGAUAUGUUUGUGCUCGUCUAA
rnacentral:rRNA from 1 species